rnacentral:rRNA from 1 species
AGCGAACGCUGGCGGCAGGCCUAACACAUGCAAGUCGAACGAACCUUUCGGGGUUAGUGGCGGACGGGUGAAUAACACGUGGGAACGUGCCUUUAGGUUCGGAAUAACUCAGGGAAACUUGUGCUAAUACCGAAUGUGCCCUUCGGGGGAAAGAUUAAUCGCCUUUAGAGCGGCCCGCGUCUGAUUAGCUAGUUGGUUGAGGUAAUGGCUCACCAAGGCGACGAUCAGUAGCUGGUCUGAGAGGAUGAUCAGCCACAUUGGGACUGAGACACGGCCCAAACUCCUACGGGAGGCAGCAGUGGGGAAUCUUGCGCAAUGGGCGAAAGCCUGACGCAGCCAUGCCGCGUGAAUGAUGAAGGUCUUAGGAUUGUAAAAUUCUUUCACCGGGGACGAUAAUGACGGUACCCGGAGAAGAAGCCCCGGCUAACUUCGUG